rnacentral:lncRNA from 1 species
GAGUGUCUAGCCAGGAUGAUAGGUAGGGCUGAGGAGUCGAACCUGUACAAGGGUCUUGGACCAAACUCAGAUUGCUCUGUCUCAUUUUUACAGUAUGCGGACGAUACCUUUUUUUUGUGAGGCGCGGAAACGUUACAUGCGUAAUCUCAAAUUUGUGUGGGAUUUUUUUGAGUGGGCGUCUGGAAUCAAGGUAAAUAAAGAUAAGUCGGAAGUUUUCUACACGGGGCAGAAGAGAGGCAAAGAAAGUAGAUUUGCUGAUAUCUUGCUGUGCAAAGCUGGCAAACUGCC